rnacentral:rRNA from 1 species
GAACUACACGGCUAGAGGAUAGGCGGAGAAAACGGAAUUCCACAUGUAGCGGUGAAAUGCGUAGAUAUGUGGAGGAACACCGGUGGCGAAGGCGGUUUUCUAGCUUAUACCUGACGCUAAGGCCCGAAAGCUAGGGGAGCGAACAGGAUUAGAUACCCUGGUAGUCCUAGCCGUAAACGAUGCAUACUUGGUGUAGCCGGACUCAACCCCGGCUGUGCCGUAGCCAACGCGUUAAGUAUGCCGCCUGGGGAGUACGCUCGCAAGGGUGAAACUCAAAAGAAUUGACGGGGACCCGCACAAGCAGUGGAGCAUGUGGUUUAAUUCGAUGCAACGCGAAGAACCUUACCCAGGCUUGACAUGCAAAGGACCGCGCCGGAGACGGCGUUUUCCUUCGGGACCUUUGUGCAGGUGCUGCAUGGCUGUCGUCAGCUCGUGCCGUGAGGUGUUGGGUUAAGUCCCGCAACGAGCGCAACCCUUAUCGUUAGUUGCCAGCAUUUUGGAUGGGAACUCUAACGAGACUGCCCGGGUUAACCGGGAGGAAGGUGAGGAUGAGGUCAAGUCAGCAUGGCCCUUAUGUCUGGGGCUACACACGUGCUACAAUGGCCGGUACAGAAGGCAGCAAAUCCGCGAGGUGGAGCAAAUCCUUUAAAGCCGGUCCCAGUUCGGAUUGUAGUCUGCAACUCGACUACAUGAAGU